rnacentral:hammerhead_ribozyme from 1 species
GCACUGCUGAGGAGUCCCAUACUAAGACGAAACGGCCGUCCAGUGA